UCAUUCUCUGCAGAAAAUGAGUUGAUAGU
rnacentral:piRNA from 1 species